UGGGGGAUAGCCCGGCGAAAGCCGGAUUAAUACCGCAUACGCUCGAAAGAGGAAAGUGGGGGAUCGUAAGACCUCACGCCCAAGGAGCGGCCGAUGCCGGAUUAGCUAGUUGGUGAGGUAAAAGCUCACCAAGGCGACGAUCCGUAGCUGGUCUGAGAGGACGACCAGCCACACUGGAACUGAGACACGGUCCAGACUCCUACGGGAGGCAGCAGUGGGGAAUUUUGGACAAUGGGGGAAACCCUGAUCCAGCCAUUCCGCGUGAGUGAAGAAGGCCUUCGGGUUGUAAAGCUCUUUCGGCAGGAACGAAACGGUUACGGUCAAUACCCGUGACUACUGACGGUACCUGAAGAAGAAGCACCGGCUAACUACGUGCCAGCAGCCGCGGUAAUACGUAGGGUGCGAGCGUUAAUCGGAUUUACUGGGCGUAAAGCGUGCGCAGGCGGUUUCGCAAGUCAGAUGUGAAAGCCCCGGGCUUAACCUGGGAAUUGCGUUUGAAACUAUGGAACUUGAGUACGGCAGAGGGGGGUAGAAUUCCACGUGUAGCAGUGAAAUGCGUAGAUAUGUGGAGGAACACCGAUGGCGAAGGCAGCCCCCUGGGCCUGUACUGACGCUCAUGCACGAAAGCGUGGGGAGCAAACAGGAUUAGAUACCCUGGUAGUCCACGCCCUAAACUAUGUCAACUAGUUGUUGGAAGAGUCAAAUCUUUCAGUAACGUAGCUAACGCGCGAAGUUGACCGCCUGGGGAGUACGGUCGCAAGAUUAAAACUCAAAGGAAUUGACGGAAUCGAAUU
rnacentral:rRNA from 1 species